UUUCAGAAUUUUUAAGAUAUUAACAAUUAAAUUAGUAUGUGAUUACAUCAUGAAGGAGGCUACUGAUUCUGGCCCUGUGACACUUGGUGGUGACGUGUGAGCUGAUUCACCUGGACACUCAGCAAAAUAUGGACUCUACACCAUGAGGCAGGCACACGUUAAUACUUAUAAGAGCACAUAAGCCUGGCUGAUCACCUGAUAACUCUGUCAUCUGGUUAUGACAGCAUGAGGAUGUCCUCACACACCUGUAACCUAUCAGCUCAUCUGGCAGAAUAGAGAGAGGAGACAACACCACAUCUCCUGUUCCUGGAAAGCCUUCAGCCAUCCUUCGAUGACUGAGAACCUCCAUCAGCUCUGUCUCCUGUCUGCCUACAAUUAUUAUAAUAAAUGUUGUGUUUGACAAGUUUUUUGUGCUGCCAAAUAUCUCAUUUAGAUUCCAGUUUUGAUAUUUUAAUGGAUAUUUAUAAAUUACAUUAAUUGAAUUAUCACAUUGUCGCAUGUUUAACUAGCUCUAUUGUGAUGAAUUAAACUAGCACCUCACUGUUAAAAGCUCGUUUUAAUUUCAAGCAUGUUUAAGUAUUUAUGGACAUGAACAAAAACAGGAAAUAUAUCAAUUGAGAUUUAUUUAAUUAAUAUAACAAAUAAGGGGGAAAGAGUCAUUGAAAGGCACAUUCUUCUGGAAGCUCCUGAUCCUGACGACACCAGCAGAGACCACCUGCAGACACCAGAGGACCUAGAACCGAGAGAGCAGCUGUUAUUAGUAAAUAAAUAAAUAAAUCAGGGCAGUUUUAGUGGGCUGAACACAUUACAGAAUAAUUUUCUCAUGGGGUAUUUUCAUAACUUUCUAUGCAGCAGACUGUAACUUGAGCCCAGGGCUACCGGAGAGCUGCUAUCCAGCACGUUUCAGUGGUUUUCCUGCUUUAACAGGUUGGAUUAGCUGUUAAGCAGCUCAGCUAUUUGUUGCUGAUUAAAACCAGGUGUGUUGAAGCAGAUAAACCUCUAAAACAUGCUGAAUACUAGCUCUAGGGCCGUGGAGAAAAACCCUGCAGCUAAUGUGAUGCUAUGGCUAACGGCUACUUACCAUUCAGAGCCGGUUCUGUUGGGUCGGUUCCGGUAAUUUCAGGCAGCUCACAAGCUCAAAACAAUAAGGCUCAGGUCCGCUUGUCUCCUCCAAAUAGACUUGGUCCCUUUCUUCUCGAGUGUCUGGGUAAGGAGGGGGAGAAACGUCCUCCACAUCUAAUAACUGCUCAGAGUGAAGGGAGCUAGCAUCGUCUCGUUAGCCGUCGUCUUCGUCACUGCCGCGGCUCCGCCCUCUCGGUCCUCCAGGCAACGCCUACUAAUGUUGCAGUUUUUAAAAUUGAUACGUGGGUGGAGUAAGACUCUGAGGGGGAGUUACAACUUCUUUAAAAACUUUUCAAAAGUGAUUCACCCAAGCCCUGGAUUAUUACACAGGCUAGACAUGCCCUAAGCUCGUUAAAAAAAGUCUAUAAAAUCGUAAGCGCGACGCUAUUAGAA